UGCCAAUGGCAUUGCCCGGUAGCUAAGUGCGGAAAAGAUAAGUGCUGAAAGCAUCUAAGCACGAAACUUGCCCCGAGAUGAGUUCUCCCUGACUCCUUGAGAGUCCUGACGGGACGUUGAAGACUACGACGUUGAUAGGCCGGGUGUGUAAGCGCAGCGAUGCGUUGAGCUAACCGGUACUAAUGACCCGUGAGGCUUAACCUU
rnacentral:rRNA from 3 species